rnacentral:rRNA from 1 species
GAUGAUGUGUAGCUGGACUGAGAGGUUGAACAGCCACAUUGGGACUGAGACACGGCCCAAACUCCUACGGGAGGCAGCAGUAGGGAAUUUUCGGCAAUGGAGGAAACUCUGACCGAGCAACGCCGCGUGAAUGACGAAGUACUUCGGUAUGUAAAGUUCUUUUAUCAAGGAAGAAAAGCAAAUGGCGAACCAUUUGUUUGCCGGUACUUGAUGAAUAAGCCCCGGCUAAUUAUGUGCCAGCAGCCGCGGUAAGACAUAAGGGGCAAGUGUUAUCCGGAAUUAUUGGGCGUAAAGGGUGCGUAGGCGGUCUAGUAAGUCAGUGGUGUAAUGGCAACGCUUAACGUUGUCCGGCUAUUGAAACUGCUAAACUUGAGUUAGAUAGAGGCGAGUGGAAUUCCAUGUGUAGCGGUAAAAUGCGUAAAUAUAUGGAGGAACACCAGAGGCGUAGGCGGCUCGCUGGGUCUUAACUGACGCUGAGGCACGAAAGCGUGGGGAGCAAACAGGAUUAGAUACCCUGGUAGUCCACGCCGUAAACGAUGAGUACUAAGUGUCGGGUUAAACCGGUACUGAAGUUAACACAUUAAGUACUCCGCCUGAGUAGUACGUACGCAAGUAUGAAACUUAAAGGAAUUGACGGGACUCCGCACAAGCGGUGGAUCAUGUUGUUUAAUUCGAAGAUACCCGAAAAACCUUACCAGGUCUUGACAUGUUUUUGCAAAAUGAUAGUAAUAUCGUGGAGGUUACCAGAAACACAGGUGGUGCAUGGUUGUCGUCAGCUCGUGUCGUGAGAUGUUAGGUUAAGUCCUAAAACGAGCGAAACCCUUAUCGUUAGUUGCCAGCACGUUAUGGUGGGGACUUUAACGAGACUGCCAAUGAUAAAUUGGAGGAAGGUGAGGAUCACGUCAAAUCAGCAUGCCCCUUAUGACCUGGGCUACAAACGUGAUACAAUGGCUGUUACAAAGGGUAGCUGAAACGCAAGUUCUUGGCCAAUCCCCAAAAACAGUCCCAGUCCGGAUUGAAGUCUGCAACUCGACUUCAUGAAGUUGGAAU